GGCGAGGUAGCUCAGCUGGUAGAGCACUCGGCUGAAAACCGGGGUGUCGCCGGUUCGAGUCCGGCCCUCGCCA
rnacentral:tRNA from 4 species